AGAUUAUGUGAAAUCAAAACACAUCUCCCUGGAAGUUCCCCUUGUGGCUCAGUGGUAAUGAACCUGACUAGUAUCCUUGAGGAUGCAGGUUCAAUCCCUGGCCUCGCUCAUGACAACACACAUACUUUACCAGGCUGGCUUGAAUAUUAUAAGCAAUAAUCCAUGUGAUGCACCUGUCACAGUGCAAGGCAUGCUUUGAGUGCAUAAAUAAGCUUUAGGCAUUAUUACUGUUUUCUGUGACGCUCUGGAGCAGGACAUGCAAGGGUCUGUAAACUACGAGAGAGGACAACUUCUCCUCCUUCCCAAAGGGACUCAGCAAAAUUGGGAGCUCGCCCCAGCAAGAUUGGGAGCAACUGCUGUGGGAUGCAAAUCAAGAAAUCUUUAAAAGAGGAGAGUGAGUGAGCUUAUGCAGAAAAAUUACACAGGGCUGUCUGAUGGCUGGUAAGAGCACUCUCAAAGGUCCCCAGACCAAAGCAUAUUGUGAUUCCAAAGAACACUGUGAUUCCAAGAACACUUAGCAAAGAAUACUGAGGUUUUAUAUAUUUCUCCUAACCAGAUCCACUGUUUCUCCUUGUUCAAAUUCCCUCCGUGACCUCUUCCCCUCUGGAACUUCCUCAACAGACAUGGAUACCAGGUUGAGACAGAGAGAGUCAAGGAUGUCUCCUUCAUAGAGUAAGAAGACGCCCUGAAGAACAAGGCUGGGCUGAUGCACAGGAGAGGGUAGGCAGGGUGACCCUAGGGUCACAGGAGCACAGUAGUAAAGAUCACAGAGACCAACUGAGCACACAUUCUUCCAGCAGCUGCUUCCUAACAAAGGUUAUCCUGAGAUGUGUGUAAUCAAGAAUCAAUAAAAGGAUAAGGUGGUGGUGGGUAGUUAGUUAUUCCUCAAGAAGCAAAAAAAAAAAAAAAAAAAAAAAAAACCACAAAUGUGAAUAGAAUAUGUGCAUGCACAUAAGAAGAAUUAAAGCCAUGCUUGGUACACUUAGAGAAAAUUACAUUCCUGGCUUCAGACAUGUAUACUCUGCUGUGCUCGGAAACUCAAGAGUGAGAAGUAUUCUGUCAAUGACCCCAGCUCUUGAAAAUACAAGUGCCAUACAGAAAGAGAACACCGUACACUCGAUAAAGAGGAGGGCUGGAGAGAGAUAUUAUCUUCAUCCAAAGGGCUAGCUGCACUUUCCUUCCUAAAAGCAAAUCAAAACCAUUCAUCUAUCAUAACUGUUCUUCAGACUGCAUGUCUGGCCCACACCUGAAAUUUUCUUUAUUCUUUGAGGAGAAGACACAGAUGCACAGGGCUGCCCCACCAGAAAAGUUAAAUAAAAAACUAAGCUUAGCUCACUCCUUAGCUAACAGCAGGCAUAGCCCAGAUAGGGGAAUAAAUGAAAAGCUAACAAGCCCCCUAAGCUCUAUCAAGAAGGAAGUUCCCAGGUCAGAAUGGCUCAGCCCCUUGGAUAUAGGAAUGUCUCAACUGGAUGAUGCCUCACUUUCUGCUUGUGAACCAAUUAACUCAGAGGAUCUCAAUGAUGGACUCUCAGUUCCUAGCUGAGGCACUCUGCAACUUAUUUUUAAAGGCGCCUGGAAAAAAAUGUUCCUGCAUCUCUGGAGACCAAUCUGUAGGUAAUAAUCACUUGUGAGUCAAGGUUUUUCACGUCUAACCAAACUAUCUUUAACAAAGAUGAAAGUCUAAUUAUUUUUUUUUUUUCACAGUUCUUUCUACCAGUCCUCACGGUGAAUGCAGUAAGCAUACAUCCAGAGGUAGACAGUCCCAAUUUCUUGCACUUUUUUCUUCUUUCAAAAGAGAGUAAAUCUAUAAUAAAAUUUGACGCAAUGUAUAGGCCUUUGUAAAACUUUGCCUGUCCUUAUAUUCACAAACUGGGGAAAAAAUUCUGUGACAAAAAGGAUGUUUGGCUUCAGAAAAACAUGGUCACUGCAUCUGUAGAAACAGGCAAGAGCCAACUCAAACUUAGAAUAAACCUACAAGCAUACCCAGAAAAAUCACAAAGAUGCUUCCAGCUCCCAAGUUCCAAGAUUCUUUAUUUUCUUCACAACAUUUAGUACAGUGUGUCAACCAUGCUACAGACUC
rnacentral:lncRNA from 1 species